GACAGAGGGUGCAAACGUUGCUCGGAAUCACUGGGCGUAAAGAGCUCGUAGGCGGUCUGUCGCGUCGAUCGUGAAAACUUGGGGCUUAACCCUGAGCUUGCGGUCGAUACGGGCAUGACUGGAGUUCGGCAGGGGAGACUGGAAUUCCUGGUGUAGCGGUGAAAUGCGCAGAUAUCAGGAGGAACACCGGUGGCGAAGGCGGGUCUCUGGGCCGAUACUGACGCUGAGGAGCGAAAGCGUGGGGAGCGAACAGG
rnacentral:rRNA from 1 species